CCUCUACUUCAACAUGGAGACACUUGCUGUGACAUAAUAAAAAUAAGUGCUUCCAUGUUUUAGUGUGG
rnacentral:pre_miRNA from 1 species